AGGGAUGUAGCUCAGUGGUAGAGCACUUGCCUAGCAUGUGUGAGGCCCUGGGUUCAAUCCCCAGCACCCCAA
rnacentral:tRNA from 1 species